rnacentral:lncRNA from 1 species
GUGCAGAGGAAUAAUUGACACAGAAGCAUUAGAGGAGGAGGAGAGCUGGUAGUUCUGAAUAUCUACUCACAUUGGAAAUGGGUUUAAUAGACAACACACAUAUAUACCAUGAAGGUGACUGAACAGUAAUGCUGAGGUCAACUGGUUCAGUUUCAGAGGCAACUUUGUGAAUCUGAGAGAUUGGAGAUUAUAAGUCCCUUCAUCAAAGCUGAUUGGUGCCAGGAAGAAUUGCUGUAUAGACGGGAUCCCAACAAAAAGGACUUGUGGGAGAGAGGGAAGAGCAAUUAUUGGUAGAAGAGAAGAACAGGAAUAGAACAUUUUACUCCCUAACAGGUUCUCUUUUGUUUAUUUUAAUACUUCAAAAGAUCUGU